rnacentral:rRNA from 1 species
GCGAAAACUUUACAAUGCUGGCAACAGCGAUAAGGGAACCUCGAGUGCCAGGUUACAAAUCUGGCUGUCGAGAUGCCUAAAAAGCAUUUCAUAGCAAGGGCCGGGCAAGACCGGUGCCAGCCGCCGCGGUAACACCGGCGGCUCGAGUGGUAACCGUUAUUAUUGGGUCUAAAGGGUCUGUAGCCGGCCGGAUAAGUCUCUUGAGAAAUCUGGCAGCUUAACUGUCAGGCUUUCAGGAGAUACUGUCUGGCUCGAGGCCGGGAGAGGUGAGAGGUACUUCAGGGGUAGGGGUGAAAUCAUGUAAGCCUUGAAGGACCACCAGUGGCGAAGGCGUCUCACCAGAACGGACCUGACGGCAAGGGACGAAAGCUAGGGGCACGAACC